rnacentral:rRNA from 1 species
GACGAACGCUGGCGGCGUGCUUAACACAUGCAAGUCGAACGGAAAGGCCUGCUUUCCCUUGUGGAUUGCGGGUACUCGAGUGGCGAACGGGUGAGUAACACGUGAGUGAUCUGCCCCCAACUUGGGUAUAAGCCUGGGAAACUGGGUCUAAUUCCCGAUAGGACUGCAGGGUGGUGCCUGUGGUGGAAAACGAUUUUCUAGUGGUUGGGGAUGAGCUCGCGGCCUAUCAGCUUGUUGGUGGGGUAAUGGCCUACCAAGGCGGCGACGGGUAGCCGGCCUGAGAGGGGGGACGGCCGCAUUGGGACUGGGAUACGGCCCAGACUCCUACGGGAGGCAGCAGUGGGGAAUAUUGCACAAUGGGCGGAAGCCUGAUGCAGCGACGCCGCGUGGGGGAUGACGGCCUUCGGGUUGUAAACUCCUUUCGACCGCGAGGAAGCCACCUGGUUGGAAGGGUGGUGACGGUAGUGGUAGAAGAAGCACCGGCUAACUACGUG